rfam:Dipodomys ordii contig_1275, whole genome shotgun sequence.
UGGCUCAGUGGUAGAGCACUUGCCUUGCAUGCAUGAGGCUCUGGGUUCGAUUCCUCAG